rnacentral:rRNA from 1 species
GAUGAACGCUGGCGGCGUGCCUAAUACAUGCAAGUCGAGCGAACAGACGAGGAGCUUGCUCCUCUGACGUUAGCGGCGGACGGGUGAGUAACACGUGGAUAACCUUCCUAUAAUACUGGGAUAACUUCGGGAAACCGGAGCUAAUACCGGAUAAUAUAUUGAACCGCAUGGUUCAAUAGUGAAAGACGGUUUUGCUGUCAUUUAUAUACGUAUCCGCGCCGCAUUAGCUAGUUGGUAAGGUAACGGCUUACCAAGGCGACGAUGCGUAGCCGACCUGAGAGGGUGAUCGGCCACACUGGAACUGAGACACGGUCCAGACUCCUACGGGAGGCAGCAGUAGAGAAUCUUCCGCAAUGGGCGAAAGCCUGACGGAGCAACGCCGCGUGAGUGAUGAAGGUCUUCGGAUCGUAAAACUCUGUUAUUAGGGAAGAACAAAUGUGUAAGUAACUAUGCACGUCUUGACGGUACCUAAUCAGAAAGCCACGGCUAACUACGUG